GACGUAGGGCGCAAGCGUUAUCCGGAAUUAUUGGGCGUAAAGAGCUCGUAGGCGGUUUGUCGCGUCGUUCGUGAAAACCUGCAGCUCAACUGCAGGCUUGCGGUCGAUACGGGCAGGCUCGAGUUCGGUAGGGGAGACUGGAAUUCCUGGUGUAGCGGUGAAAUGCGCAGAUAUCAGGAGGAACACCGGUGGCGAAGGCGGGUCUCUGGGCCGAUACUGACGCUGAGGAGCGAAAGCGUGGGGAGCGAACAGG
rnacentral:rRNA from 1 species